CGAAGAUAAAUUCACCCCGUUCAAAACGAAAUCGAAAAUUCUAAGUACUGCAAGGACUUGCUCGGUCUUAGCAGUCGAGAACCGCUGAAACGUGUUUAUCGUGAGGUUAUUUGUGACCUUUGUAGCGUAGUAUCCCUCCGUGCUUUGGACGGGAUUUGCAGUUUUGCUGACCAUAAGGUCAUUAGGACUUUGGAGGAGCCUCGCUUCAAAAGCGAGAAAAAGCAUACAUAUUUAUCAAUACUUUUCUUAACUCGUGUACUGAAAGACUGAGGGCAGUGAGACUGUUAGUAGACACUUAUAUGCUGUUUUAUACAGUGCAUUGACAAAGUUUAGUCUGCAUCUUAGUCUUGCUGGAGAACCUUACAGUGAAAAGUUGAGAAUAACUCCUUUAGAACUCCAAAGAACUCCAAAAGGUGUGGAAGUUUUAGAUAACCUGUCUCUAGUUGUGAUUUGAGAGCCAAAGGCUGAAAUACAAACGGAGAAAAUUACAGAAAGGCAGAAAAAGUUAAGUAUGGUAUGCGUUUAUAAGGUUGAAAGUUUUGACCCUCAUUCUUCCUGGCACAGUCACCCCGACUGGGACGGGGCUUGCUUAUGUCACAUGCUUGUAGCAUGUGUUUGCAGUUCGGGUUCCUGUAGACUGUGUGAAGAUCUGGUGAGGAAAAUUUAACAGCAUCAAAGCACAGGUUUUAAUCCUGUAUUUUAUAUUUUUCAAUAAAUACAGGCUUUUUCUUACUGUCUCUUGGUUUUCGUUUUGUUUUAGCUAUGGAGUUGCUCUCUAUUUCUUGUUGCCUUGUUUACACCUUUAAAAAAAUCCUCUUCCUCUGUUGUAUUAAUGUUAAUGCUUUCAUCUGGGGAAGCCACUGAUAUAGAGGGAAUAUAAAAAUGUUACAUAUAGGGCUUUUGGGGAUUUUAGGUCUCAGGUGUUGUGCAGUCUCUUGUCUUUUACUCUUGCCUGUGUACUAAUUUGUAAUCUAUGCUAAGUGGCUGACACAGUCGAAUUACUAUUUCAGGAAUGUUUACUGAGCUAAAUUUACAUGCAGAAGAACUCCAUUAAAAAAUAAUCGUUGCAUUUUAAGAGGUUGCUGCCUUAGUUUUUCUCACAGAGGCUCUGCCACUAUAAAAAUGCCAGUAGGGCAUUAAUUAGCUGUCAGUUAUACUGCGUGUCAGAAUUGAGUAAGGCUGAGUUUUGAAUAGUCUCUGGAAGCAUGAUGUGGGCAAGUUGCAGCUCCAGGACUUCUGGAGUUCUCUUUCCUCUUUCCAAAUACCUCUCUGUGAUUUGUAGUGGGGAGUUGGAAUAAAAUCUUAAGCAGUGGUACUGAUGUCAGGUGUGGAAUUGCAGAGGCACCAACAUUGCCAAAAGAUUCAUCUUUGUUUCAGCCUGCAGCAUCACUUCAGAGAUGGGGCAUAGGUCACAGUAACACAGCUGGGCUGUGUGGAGUCUGUGCUGGGGACAGCCCAGGUAGUCCAAGAGCUCAGCAUCCUGGAAGGUCUCCCCUCAAAGCCAAAUUUGCCAUGGGAAACCCUUUCUUCAGCAUGCUUUAGAGGACUGUGGGCUGUAUGAGUGAAGGACAUAGAAGGGAAGCUAUAAAGUGAUCAAAUAUCUCUAAAUGCCCCUAGAAGUGGAAAGACAUUUUGCAGAUACUCUUAAUAUUUUCUGAAAAAACUCCACAAACUCAAAACAAAACAAAACUAAAAAAAUCCCAAGUAACAACCUUCUCCACCUAAACAAGGAGAAUAACUGGUUGUUUAUUUCUUUUUUUAGUUUGUCAUGCUGCAUAUCUGCACUUUCCAUAAUACUAAGACCACUUGCUUUUUUUUUGCCAAAAUCCAAGCUUUGUCCUUCAGCGCGCAGCAAAAGGAAGCUCCUUUCAAGCAGAUCUGGUGGUGGAGAACACGCUCACUGGAGGCUUUCCUCCUCCCACAUCACUGCUUUAAUCAUGUACAUCCAGCAGAUUUGACUGUCCCUUUCUGGGAGCUCCAUGGAAGGGCUCUAGCAAGAGCAGCUUUGUGUCUUGAAAGGAAACUGCACAAUGUGGAGUUUCACAGCUUUUGUCACCUGUGAAACACUAGGUGACUUCCACUGCAGGUUGACUUCUCAUGACAUGGCAUGUGCAGAAGAGUUUUUUAGUCCUUCCUAGGAAACACAGCUCUGUUCUUCCUGCAGGCUGUGUUUGCUUCAUAAAUCUACUUCAGAUGAGUUUGUGCUGGUUUUGUACUCUUGAACUUUGUGUGUAGUUGGAUGAAGCUUUUCUUUUGUUCUCAAAUGAAUACUUUUUUUUGCAGCAGCAGCAGCUUCAAAAGAAUCUGUCUGAUCUGGCUUAAAAAUCACAAAAGUGGAAAGAAAUCCUAGCAGAACAGAUUGCAUAAAGCAGGUGUAUGCAAGUCAGUUAGGAAUUAGACCUAUUUGUCAGUGUAUUGCACUUUGACAGAGCUUGAUAUGACAAAGGAGGACCUUUGUUAGAACUGUUGAACGAGACCUUGGAACAACCAGUGGGAAUAACACAGAGUGGAAAGAGGAAAGAGUAGAAAAGAUCCUUGAAAUGUUUCCAGAAGCACUGUCUUUAGCUGGGUGUAGAUUUUCACAUUCAAUAAUGAAGUGGCCUAUUCCCUUGCUGACUGCUGGCAGCAAUGGAAGACACCAAAAGGCUCCCAAACCAUCAUCUCCUUUGCUACUCCUACACUUACUGAGAAAAAUCUGCUGGAAGGCAUUUCCUGAUUUUUUCUUUCCUUUUUUACCUUCUGGUUUUUAGAGGGGUGACUCAAACAUUGUCCAUAAAAGAAAAGCUUCUUAUUUUAUAAAUACUAGAAAGUAAAAUGAAUUGUUGUCAGUUUGAUUUCAUUGGCUGCUUUUCCUCUUGUGCUUGUAUUUACAUACUUAAUAGUUUUUCUCCACUUAGGAAACCUCAAAGUGCAAAUGAACAAAUGUGGAAAUUACCUUUGUUGAAAGGUUGUUCUGUAAAAUAAUUGAAUGGCUUUUCAGCUUUUCCUGGCGUGGUUUUUCUGAAGCCACUUUGUUGAGGUGAAUAACUUUCUGUGUCUGCAACGUGUCCUUUGUUUUGUAAAUUUGGAUUCUCAUCAAGUUCAUGCUUAAGUGAAGCGCUUUUUGUGUUUUGAUAGCAGUUUUUAAUUCUUUGGAGCAGUGGAAUGAAGUCAGAUGUAAAAUGUGAGAUGAGUAUCUCCAUUUCUUUUGAAGAGUAUUUAGGCCGUCAGCUUGUCGUGUUAGGAGUGUGACAGAAUAGUUGUUUCAAAUUCUUUACCUAAUUUAGGUGUGCAUGCUCAGUUUGGUUUUGGGGUUUUUUUGCGUGUUUGUUUUUUUUGUUGUUGAUGUUUAUUUUAUUUUGUUUGGUAGUUUUAUUGCUGUUUGGGGUUUUUUUAAGUUUGUUUGGAAGAGCAAUACUUGCAAGGAGUAAGCUCUAGGCUAAUAUGUAAACUGGAAUUGUCAGACUUCGAGUAGACUAACAUCUUUGGUAUGUGCACAAUGGAUUAGGAGUUGGCAGACGCUUUGAUGAACCAAAGUGCAGCUCUUUACCAUUAGUAAGACUUUACAAAUAAGCUGUGUAAGUAACACAAUCUUAUUUUGAUGUGCCAGAUUUUAUUUGCCUAAUUUCCCACAUGGUGGAAUGAAUCUAGUCUUCACCAGCAUGGAUAUGUAAACCUUUUCAAGAUGGUUAAGAACUGUGGCGAAGAACCAAGUGGAAUGACAAGAGGAAGCAGCCACUUCUGCUAACAUCUGAUUUGUAUAUUAGAAAGUAUGGUUUCCUGACAGAAGAGUGCAUUAUAGUUUUUAACAGCAGAUCUUUAUUAAAUGUGCCAUCAAUGGUCGUUUUGGAAAGAUGAGAAAGGACCCACUGUGGGGCAACUCAGUGAAGCUAAAGAUGUCUGCAACUUCUGUUCAGUCUAUCCCAGUUAGGGGAGCUUUUUUGUGAUUUUUAAGCUUGGUGCUGUCAGCCCCAUGUAAACAAACCAGAACAAAAAGCACGCUGGGUAUUAGAAAACAAAAUGCCACGGAAGAGGAAAACUGGUGGGAGUCCUUCUCAGAGGAAUGGCAAUUCUGACAGAACUGCUGUUGCUGUAUCCCAGGGGGACCCAAGCCACUUAGUGGCACAAGCAAUGCGUUAUGUCAAUAAGGAAGAGCUCCUCAACAGCAUGUCAGAGAUGUUUUCUGACCUAGAUCCUAGUGUGGUUUAUAUGGUUCUGUCUGAAUGUGAUUUUAAAGUGGAAAAUGCUAUGGAUCAUCUCCUGGAGCUGUCCACCCAUGCCAAAGGAGUAGCAUCUUCAGAAACCUUGGGUUUUGAUUUAGCAGCAUCAUCAUUACCUCUUGUUAGUCAGCAAAUAUCUAUUGCAAAUGAAAGAAUGGGGGAAGGUACUGCAGCACAUAGUUAUUCUGGAGCAGCAAUAGAAAAGGUCUUGUCACCUGAUGUGCAGCUGACUGAAGAACUGGAUUCUCUACUAGAAAAUGCCUUUCAGAGUUACAGCUUGAGUGAGGAAUUGCCCAAUUCUGCAAAUGACCAAAUAGUACAUGAGCACCCUAUGGAACAGGAUGGUUUUACCCAAUUUCCUGAGCGAGAAAAUCCUGAUUCGGUUUGCAAUGUCCUACUUUUUCCACAGCAAGCAGAGACAAAUAAUGAGGUUUUAGAAAACUUCUGCUAUUCCCAGCCACCAGUGAGUCAGCUGAGCAUCCAGACAAGCUCACCAUCUACAUCAGACAGUUUUGCAGAGAUACUGGAAGAUUCUGAUAUGUUGGAAAUACAUGUUCAACAUGAUGUGGCUUCAGAAGUAUAUAAACUCUCAAAUGGAGAGAUACCGUGUGAAAGCUCUGAUCAGACACAAAAUACUGUUUUGGAUCAAAGUAGUGAGACUGCUGCUUCUUGUGGGUCCUCCCAAAGACCUGUGGAACUUGGAGUAGUUGUUUCUGGAGAUCCUAAUUCACGGUGCCUGGAACAACAUGAAGAUGCGGUGACUGCCUUUAGCAGCUACCAGAGUGCUUCUCUUCCAGAGGCAUAUAUUUCUCCUGAAACAUCCAGUUUCAAAACACAAAAACCUGCAGAUACUCAGCAAAUUCAGCAGGGUUAUAACUUAAAUUUUCCUACACCAUCAGGUCAAUCUCAACAACACUGGAAUCUCAUGGCUCCCGUGUUUUAUCCAUCCAGUGGAAGUCACAGCUUUGUAAUUCCUGUGGCUGCCAGUCCAGGGCAGUGGAGAUCUGUUUCUGAGUGUAGAACUUCGGAAAAAGGACUUUUUCUUUCCUCCCCAGUGGUUUCAAAUGCCUGGGAUGGCAGCUCUUCUCUGAAGGUAUGGGGAAAUCAAGAUAGAAACUCAAAAUUGAACCUCCCGCAAGCACAGCAACCUCGUGUUUGUCACAUGAUGAGAAAAAAGAUGCAACUAAUAGGUCAAGUACUUGUUCUUCUCAGAGGUGUUCCAGGAUCAGGAAAAUCAUAUUUGGCAAGGAAUUUGCUUGAGGAUAAUCCAGGUGGAAUCAUUCUUAGUACUGAUGAUUACUUUUACAAACAUGGACAAUACCAUUAUGAUCCUGAUUGCUUAGGGGAAGCACAUGACUGGAACAGGAAACGAGCCAAAGAAGCGUUUGAAAUGCGAAUCUCUCCUAUAAUAAUUGACAACACAAACAUACAAGCUUGGGAGAUGAAGCCUUACGUUACUUUGGCUCAGCAGUUCAAAUACAAAGUAAUGUUCCGAGAACCAGACACUUGGUGGAAGUUUAAACCAAAAGAACUUGAAAGGAGAAACAUUCAUGGUGUAUCUAAAGAAAAGAUCAAAAGAAUGUUGGAACGGUAUGAACGCUGCCUUACUGUUAGAUCGAUAUUGGAUUCUUCAGUUCCAGACAAAUCAGAAGCUGCUGGUUGGAGUGAAGAUCCUUGUCAGGAGGAAAGCCAGAGAAAGAGAGAGGCACAUUCUGAUGUAAAGGAGGAAGAAUGUUUUGCUUCUGAGGUGGAGCCUAUUGAAUUAGCUGAAGUUGAUAAAACUUCUCCUCGUAUUUCUCUAACAUUAGAAAGUAGUUGUGACCCUGAGCAUUUUCAGAAAGAGGAAAAAGAAAUGGAAAAUAUCUCAGUGGAGCACAAUUCUGAGAACAGCACUGUUCAAGAUGACUUGGAAAUUAAUUUAUCCGAUUGCAUCAAAAAAGAGCUGCCCUUGGAGAAGAAAGAAGAAAAGGGAUUAAAACCAGAAGAAAAUACUGAGGGAGAAACGGAUGAGGUUGAUGUGAUUCCAGCUGAAGAGACUGUGAACUUACACACAGGUGGAGCUGAGGAACACAGCGAUAACAACAGUCUCAAAGUUCAAGCUGCAGUUGAACAACUGGGCAAAAUAUAUAUGGAACCAAAAUCAACACAAACGAGUAACACGGUGGAACCAAGCAGUUUGGCUUUUGACGCAUCAGGAAAACCAGAACGACUAAACUUUCUGGGUGACUGGCCCAUGGAACAAACAAUGGGACAGAGAGUCAAAAGAUCUAGAAGACUAGAAAAAUCUCCUCUGAAGAGUGAUAAGGAAGGUGAAACUCCCAGUCAGCAGCAUUCUGAGAUAGGUAAAGAGCAAGUGGGCCUGCCUGAGACAUGUAUUGUUGAGAAAGGACAUGAGGACGAAAAUCUACCCUGUAGCUGUUACUCUGUUAGUUCAGAUAAAGUUACACCAGAAUUGCAAAUGUUAGGACAUUGGCCUGUCUCAGCCUCAUUAGAACAGAGACAGCAAAGGUCAAGGAGAAUGAGAAAGACAAAUUUUAAUCAGUGUGAUGAAGACAGAAAUUCUGAAGACAACACUAAUAUGAAUGCUCUUGAAACUGUACAGGUGAUUCGUGGGUCACCUGUGGACACUGAAGAGCAACCAGAUAUAAGGAGUUUGCCUGUGCAGCAAGAGGAAACAGUAUCUAGUGAAACAGUAAGUGAGGAAAAAUCCCAGCAAAGUAAGAGAACAAGGAAACAUCCCAAAUUAGCCCUCACUUUUACAAACAGCAGCUUGCCACAUCCCAGAGAAGAGGGCCACUUGUCUGAACUUGACCUGGCAGUAGAGAAACAGGAAACAGACUUAUGUAGGCAGAAAAGUAGCCAUUCACAGACUGAAUCACAGGACUUUGCUCUCCUGUGGAGAUUAGAAAAGAAAAUGCUUUUUCCUGAGACAACAAAAAUAUUACAUGGCAGGUUAGAUGGCUUCAAACCCAAAGACAUAGAUAAUGUCUCGGAUUCUCAGGAAAAAAUACCCUAUCGAGUUACGUAUGAUAAAAGUACUUUUGUGGAAGAAAGUGAGCUUAUCAGUAUUGAUGAGUCUGAAAAACUAGAUACACUCUGUAAGCUCUUUGAGUCUGUUUCAUUUGAAGCUCUGAAAGAUCUGUAUGAAAGAUGUAACAAAGACAUAGACUGGGCCACAGGUCUACUGUUAGACUCUGAUGAAAAGUUACGUAAAGCUGUUGAUACUGAGAGCUUUCAGGUAAGUGAAGCUGAGCCAGUGGUCACAGACCUUGAUUUCAAGGCAAGUAUAAACUAUGAUGAGAAUCUCAAAGACUGCAAACAAGCCCCACAAGUGCUUGGGGCUGGUGAUACCUUUGAGACUUCAGAAGGCAAGAACUCAUCACUCAGCAUUGCAGAAAGGAGGGCUGCCAAGACACCUGUGACAAGUGCUGAUGUUUCUGACUCAUUCACUGCUACCUCAUUGGAUAAUUCAGUGGGACUGAAAAAUUCUGUGGAUUCAACCCCUAGCACUAAGACAAGCAACUCAGCAGCAGGUGUCAUUGAGCUGUCCGUUUCUGGAAAGCAGAAGGGAGGGAGUGAGAGUCCUCUUGAAGAAACUGUAAAUGAGCCAUCACUUUCACAACUUGAUGCAGGUUUGCCUUAUGAUCCUAACACAACUUCUACCAAUUUGAAAUCUGAAUUAAACAAUGAAAGUGACAGUAACCCUUCAGAAAGCAAAGCCAAAAAUUCCAGAGGGACUGGUUUGUUACUGGAAAUGGAUUGUGCACCUCUGGUUGAUCCUAGGAGCAAUAAAGAACUGGAGAUGGAUAAAGAGACUCAGGAGAAUUCCAGGGAGAUAUAUGGUAAAGAAGAAAUUGACACUCCAAGUGGGGCUGCAGCUAAAGCCAAGAGACAAAGCCCUAUACCAGCAUCACACGCAGCUUUCAGUAUAGAUUGCCUAGAACUAACAUUGCCUCCUGAAUUGGCACUCCAGCUGAAAGAGAUAUUUGGACCUGUUGGCAUUGAUGCAGGAUCACUAACUGUUGAGGAUUGUGUGGUUCAUAUUGAUCUGAAUUUGGCAAAAGUGAUUCAUGAAAAAUGGAAAGAAUCUAUUCUGAAGCGUCAGAGGAGAGAUGAAUCAUGUAAGCUGUCUGCAGAAGUGUUUCAGCAGAUAGAUACAGAUGACUCAGAAGUGCUGUUAUCUCAGAAUGCAGACAGCAAAAUACAGAAGAAAAAAUCGAGCUCGGCUGCAGACACAUCAAAUGAUGUACAGACAAAAACCCCAGCAACAUCAGACGUUUUUCCAUUUAUGGAUCACUGGAAUGCUCAGAUUCAGAAAGUUUCUCUCAGGCAAAUAAUUUCUGAAGAAAUAGCAAUGCAGGAGAGAGAGGACCUGAAUCGUGUUCCUUCUACAGCCAGAAAAGACUGUGCUGCUAAACUAAAGGAGAAGCAACUUUUUGAAAUGUUUCCAACUAUUAAUCAAAAUUUCUUAAUGGAUGUCUUCAGGGACAACAACUAUUCUUUAGAACAAACUGAACAGUUUCUGAACUGUGUUCUGGAGGCAGAUCCUGUACAAACAGUUAUAGCUCAAGAAACUGCUCAGCAAAAUGAAAAUGUUUCUUCCUACAGCGUUGCAAAGAACCGUGAGAAGAAGGCAAAAAAAAGUAAGGAAGAGGAUGAUUCUCUGUGUGAAAUGUUUCAAGACUUUGAGUAUCCACAAUAUGAUGAUUUAAGAGCAGAAGCUUUUUGUCACCAGCAAAAGAGACAGGAAUGUUUGAAAAAGGCUGGAGAGGCCUAUCGCAUGGGUAUGAAGCCUGUGGCGGCCUUUUAUGCACAUCAGAGUACCAGCAGAGUGGUGGUAAACCAUAUCUCAGUGUGAUCACGGGAAGAGGAAGCCAUAGUCAGGGAGGAGUUGCUCGCAUCAGACCAGCAGCUAUCCGAUACCUCACAAGCCACAACUUCAGGUUCACAGAAAUAAAACCAGGCUGCCUGAAAGUCAUGCUGAAUUGAGGAGUUGUGGAAAGAGGAAUAUGGAAACUGAGGUGUCAGAUGAUCGCUGGGUAACAGAAAAAAACCCCCAUGUUUUGAACAACUGCACUGGUAUUUUUUAGUCUGUUUUAAAGAACUGGUCUCAAUUUACAGCAAGUGGAUUUGUCAGUAUGUUCCCAAUAAAUUUUUGUGUGGAAUAGAACUUUUUUGAACCUGCAAAAGGAAGAUGGAAGAUUCUUUAAAGCAUUUGAAGUCUCAGAAAUGCAGAUUGAGAAUUUUGCUGAGAAAUAUAUGAUCUUUUUAACAGAAGUUAAGGUACAAUUUUUAAUAUAAGGACCUUCUUAGCAUACCUAAUCUGCCUUUUGACCCUUGCACGUCUUGAUUGCUGUGGCUUCUGUACUUCUAAAACAUAUUAUCUUGUACAAAGUUAUUUUGUAAUUCAGAACUUUGUGCUAAACCCUUCAGAAGAGCAAAGGAGAGGCUGAAACUGAGCAACUACUGGUAAUUCAAAUCCAGUUACAUCAGAGUGCUGAGUAUUUCCAGGUUUCUUUAAAAAUCUGGUGUCUUUUUAGUGGUUAUGUUAUGAUGAGUUGACCAGUUCUGUUAUCCUUACUUCAUUCUAAACUUCUCCAAAUACUGAAGGAGGUUGCAUAGAAGGCCUGUGCAUUAAGGCCAGCUGUGUGUUUGGUAAUUUGGCAGAUUUAGUGUGAUCUCUUAAAGGAAAACCACAAUGCUGUUAUUCAGUCUCUUUUGGAGAUCCACCUACUGGAUUAAAAUUGUUUCUUUCUUUGUGGCUUUUUAAAUUCAGCAAAUGCAGUACUGUUUUACUUCACAAGUGUCUAAUAAUGAUGUCCUCGCUCUCUGUGUAUUGUUUGGUGAUUUCCUUGUAGAAAAUAUGAUUAUGAGACGUUUUAAAUGUAUUUUUAACAUCUAAGUGAAUGCUAAUAUUGCAGAAGUAAUUGCCUAACUGGAAAAUCUGGGAGUACAAGAGUUACUCUGAUUUUGGUGGUGUUGCAUCAGCAUCUAGAAAUAUCUGUGUAAAAAACCAAAACAACAUAAAAAGACCCCAAACAAAACCCUUCAAAAAAGAAAUAUAAACAUCUCUACUUACGCAAGUGUUUCCAGUAAACAAUCAGAACACUUUUUUAAUAGAAAUAUCUUCUAGAAUACAUCACUAUUUUUAUUUAUAUCUUUGCCUCCUGAAAGGCAUAUGAAUUUUUAUUGUAUGGCUUUUUCAGAACAGGUGUGAGUUGUGUAUUAGGAAUAAUAUUAAUAGAUUGAGGAUUAAUGUGAGGAAUUUUUAAAUUUUUAACCACUUUGCAGUAAAUUUUAUCGAGGAACUUCAUGCACAUAGAGUUUGUAUAUGAAUCCAUAUGUGUGUGCAAGUUCUGCAAUUUGCAUACAUGAUAAUAAAUGAAGAACUUCUGUGAGAAAAGCUGUCCACAGAAAGAGGUUUCACUUGAAAAUGUGUCUGUAUAAGUUGCUGACAGGCUGAAAGACAUGAUGUUUCCUGAAUAUAUCUGUAUUUACUCUAAUACAUACACAGUGACUAUGAUGCAUGGUAGACUUAAAAAUGAGUUUGUCAUGCUUCAGUAGAUACAGUAAUAUUUUCCUGGUGAUUUCAAGUGGAAGAAUAGCUUGAGUAAUACUUAAUCAAAGGGACUCUUUCUGUAAUAAUAGACUGCCGUAAUAAGUUCUAUAUUUUUUGUGGGUACUUAAUUCAUCUGAAUUGUGUCUUUUCUCUGUUUCCUUCUCUCUGCCCUGCUCUGGGAAUCAGUGAGUGAAAUACAAAAGAUCUGUGGUCCCCAUACAGAACUAAGAGAGUUUUUUCUACCACUGCAUGAUGUCCUGUGUGAAAUCCACACUCUGUGACAGUGCCUAAAAUGGACUGAGAUGCUGUUUAGGCACUCGGCCUCAAGACAAUAGUUCAGACUAUCAGCUGUACAGAGUUGCAAAUGCUAGAAUUAUCUCAGCGGAGCCAAAAUCUUUGUUUUGGACCAAGGGACUUCCUUCUGUUCCUGAACAGGUUUUCCUUAGUGCUGCUGUUUAUACCAAAUGGAGUUACAGCUCUCUGGGACAGCUCUUUGCAGUAUAGUCCCUGUUGGUUGGCCUGGGUGGCUGUUGUGUGUUGAGCUGCUUGGGUGCCCAAGCCCUACAGAGAUGUGCCUGUAAACAAGCAAGUGCCAACACUUCUGGUUGUUUUGGGAGGCAGCCUGAUUCACUCAGCAUAUUCACACCAUUCCUGACAUGGACAAAGACAGCUUAGAUUUUAGUUCAAAAGACAAGCAGAAAAAGUUGUCGUCUUGCCCAUCUGUUCAUCAUAAUCUACUUGACAACUUUACCCUGGAGAUGAGAAACACAGCUUUUUGCCUUCUUCUGGCUUAGCAAGUAGAUGAGAAUGAUUGCACUUGACUCUCACUUCCCCAGAAAAUGCUCUGACCAAUGUGUUCAGGAAUAUUUUUGAAGUUGCCACUUCCUGAGCCUCUUUCAAAAAUACCACUGCACGCUAAAAGUGCAAGCUUAAGGGGACAAAAGAGAUUAAAGAAUUAAAAGUGCAUAAACAGUCUCUGGGAGUGGGCUAAGACUUUUCAGAAAGGAACUGUUCCUGGUGAGCUUCAGUGCCCUUUCAUACUAUUUUUUCAUCCUUUAGUCUUAUUUGGAUAAAUACAUUAAAAAUAUUCAGGGUAAAAUCAGCUCUACCCAGUGCUAGGAGAAUUUUUCUUCAGUCUGUCAGAGUCAGCAGAGAAAUACACAGCUCAAGAGCAGUUUGGAAUACUUUUCCUCUCUUCACUGGCUUUCAUUGGGGUGCAGGUUGAGGUCAUGAACAUACUCUGAAUGCCCUGCCUGGGGUAGACUGGUCAUUCACCUAGCAUGCGUUGUUUGACUACCAGGUAAACUUUGAUGGAAAGAUGGCUUAAAAUCAUAACACUGGCAGAACCAAUCUUGCCUCUACCAGCUUUGGCAGUUCAAAAUAAGGCAUUGCAGUUCUGACUUGGAGAAAAUGUAAGGAUCCUCUGAAGGAUCUCAAGCACUUGCUUAAAAGCUAUGCUGAGUUGGAUACAGAACAGGUCCGAAGAUCAAUGCACGGAGUAAAAAUAAGUAGAGUUUUAUCAGUAAGGAUCUCCGUGCCUUCAGCUACUUGCCAAUAUUCCAGAAAAACAACACAAGUUCUUGUAGUUCUCUGAAUGAUUUUAUAAUGUAUUCUGGGAUUAAUUCUUUGAAAUAUAAUUAUUUCAAAGUGGUGUUUCAAAGUAGGUUAUAUUUUAGAAGUUCCAACCAUUCUGAUGUCUCUUGCAGUGAGAACCCAUGAGAAACCUGAGCUAUCGUGUAAAUUCUGUAUCAUCUUAAAAUUAAAAUAGCAGUAUUGUCACCAGCACUCUGAAAUAAUGUACAGCUGUUUGUGUAGCACUUUCUAUUCUAUUCUUCAGCAGCAUGUGAUGGUGAUGAAUGGUAACCCUUAAUACGUGACUUUUUGUGUCUUCUUUUACAAAACAUUUUAAUAGUUAUCCCAAGUUUUAAUUUAGGAAAAUUACAUUUUUUAAUAUACAAAAUGAAUACUUGUGCUAACAUUGAUGAGUGAUCUUAGAGAAAGGAAAAAAAAAGGGUAGAGGUGCAAUGAGAAAAGUUGUCUGAAGUAAUGUGACUGUUGAAAACCAUUUCAGUUGAUUGUGAAAGUAGUAGGGCAAAAAUUUAUUUUAAAAAAUAUUUCAGGCUACCUUGACAAUACUUAAUGACACUGGCUUUUGCUUUUAAUAUCAUGUGGUACAUCCCCCCUCAAAACCCAACCGAAGCCCAACUGUUCAUGCUGUAUCAGCUAAAUAAACUCUGCAGAGGAUUAAAUGAGUAGAUGUGAAUAUGCAUGUGAAAACACCUAGUAUUGCAGCUACCAGUUGUGAAAGCUGUUAGGACCAGUACAUUGGAAGAUACAAAUUUCUAUUUUUAAAUUAAAACAAAAAGAGAUUUUUUUAUUUGUAUAAAGUUGUACUUUUGCUGUUAACUAUAAUUUUGUUUUUUACUGAAAUAGUUUUGUAAUUUGCAUUUAGAAUUUCUAAUAUGAAACGGAAUUUACAGAAUCUAGUUUAAUAAAGGAUUUUUGUCACAAGUACAGCCUUCUGUCUUUCCUU